GACGAACGCUGGCGGCGUGCUUAACACAUGCAAGUCGAACGGAAAGGCCUAGCUUGCUGGGUACUCGAGUGGCGAACGGGUGAGUAACACGUGGGUGAUCUGCCCCUGACUUUGGGAUAAGCCUGGGAAACUGGGUCUAAUACCGGAUAUUCAUUUUUCCUCGCAUGGGGAUUUGUGGAAAGCUUUUGCGGUUGGGGAUGGGCCCGCAGCCUAUCAGCUUGUUGGUGGGGUAAUGGCCUACCAAGGCGACGACGGGUAGCCGACCUGAGAGGGUGAUCGGCCACACUGGGACUGAGACACGGCCCAGACUCCUACGGGAGGCAGCAGUGGGGAAUAUUGCACAAUGGGCGCAAGCCUGAUGCAGCGACGCCGCGUGAGGGAUGACGGCCUUCGGGUUGUAAACCUCUUUCAGCUCCGACGAAGCGCAAGUGACGGUAGGAGCAGAAGAAGCACCGGCCAACUACGUG
rnacentral:rRNA from 1 species